rnacentral:rRNA from 1 species
UACAGAGGUCUCAACCGUUGUUCGGAUUCAUUGGGCGUAAAGGGUGCGUAGGCGGCGGGGAAAGUCGGUUGUGAAAUCUCAGGGCUCAACCCUGAAACUGCAUUCGAUACUGCGUGGCUAGAGUGCUGGAGAGGAGACUGGAAUUUACGGUGUAGCAGUGAAAUGCGUAGAUAUCGUAAGGAAGACCAGUGGCGAAGGCGAGUCUCUGGACAGCAACUGACGCUGAGGCACGAAGGCCAGGGGAGCAAACGGG